rnacentral:rRNA from 1 species
UCCUAGCCGUAAACGAUGGGUACUAAGUGUAGGAGGUCAUUGACCCCUUCUGUGCUGUAGUUAACGCAUUAAGUACCCCGCCUGGGGACUACGACCGCAAGGUUAAAACUCAAAGUAAUUGACGGGGGCCCGCACAAGCGGUGGAGCAUGUCGCUCAAUUCGAAGCAACGCGAAGAACCUUAUCCAGUGGCUUGACAUCCUCUGACAACCGUGGAAACACGGCUUUCCCUUCGGGGACAGAGUGACAGGUGCUGCAUGGCAGUCGUCAGCUCGUGUCGUGAGAUGUUGGGUUAAGUCCCG